rnacentral:rRNA from 1 species
UACGUAGGGUGCAAGCGUUGUCCGGAAUUAUUGGGCGUAAAGAGCUCGUAGGCGGUUUGUCGCGUCUGCUGUGAAAACUCAGGGCUUAACUCUGAGCUUGCAGUGGGUACGGGCAGACUAGAGUGCGGUAGGGGAGACUGGAAUUCCUGGUGUAGCGGUGAAAUGCGCAGAUAUCAGGGAGGGAAACACCCGGGUGGGCCGAAGGGCGGGGUCUCUGGGGCCGUAACUGACGCUGAGGAGCGGAAAGCAUGGGGGAGCGAACAGG